AUGAACGCUGGCGGCGUGCCUAAUACAUGCAAGUCGAGCGCACAGAUGAGGAGCUUGCUCCUCUGACGUUAGCGGCGGACGGGUGAGUAACACGUGGAUAACCUACCUAUAAGACUGGGAUAACUUCGGGAAACCGGAGCUAAUACCGGAUAAUAUAUUGAACCGCAUGGUUCAAUAGUGAAAGACGGUUUUGCUGUCACUUAUAGAUGGAUCCGCGCCGCAUUAGCUAGUUGGUAAGGUAACGGCUUACCAAGGCAACGAUGCGUAGCCGACCUGAGAGGGUGAUCGGCCACACUGGAACUGAGACACGGUCCAGACUCCUACGGGAGGCAGCAGUAGGGAAUCUUCCGCAAUGGGCGAAGGCCUGACGGAGCAACGCCGCGUGAGUGAUGAAGGUCUUCGGAUCGUAAAACUCUGUUAUUAGGGAAGAACAAAUGUGUAAGUAACUAUGCACGUCUUGACGGUACCUAAUCAGAAAGCCACGGCUAACUACGUG
rnacentral:rRNA from 1 species